GACGAACGCUGGCGGCGUGCCUAACACAUGCAAGUCGUACGGGACCGGGGGCAACUCCGGUUCAGUGGCAGACGGGUGCGUAACACGUGAGGAACUUGUCCGGUGGCGGGGGAUAGCCGGCCCAACGGCCGGGUAAUACCGCAUACGCUCGUUCGGGGGCAUCCCUGGGCGAGGAAAGCAGCCGCAAGGUUGCGCCGACGGAGGGCCUCGCGACCUAUCAGCUUGUUGGCGGGGUAACGGCCCACCAAGGCGACGACGGGUAGCUGGUCUGAGAGGACGACCAGUCACACGGGGACUGAGACACGGCCCCGACUCCUACGGAGGCAGCAGUGGGAAUUUUCCGCAAUGGGCGAAAGCCUGACGGAGUGACGCCGCGUGUGGGACGAAGGCCUUCGGUCGUAAACC
rnacentral:rRNA from 1 species